GGUCGACUAGCUCCCAACCCCAAUGUGAACGUUACCAAUCUGUUGCCUCGGCGGGAUUCUCUUGCCCCGGGCGCGUCGCAGCCCCGGAUCCCAUGGCGCCCGCCGGAGGACCAACUCCAAACUCUUUUUUUCUCUCCGUCGCGGCUCCCGUCGCGGCUCUGUUUUAUUUUUGCUCUGAGCCUUUCUCGGCGACCCUAGCGGGCGUCUCGAAAAUGAAUCAAAACUUUCAACAACGGAUCUCUUGGUUCUGGCAUCGAUGAAGAACGCAGCGAAAUGCGAUAAGUAAUGUGAAUUGCAGAAUUCAGUGAAUCAUCGAAUCUUUGAACGCACAUUGCGCCCGCCAGUAUUCUGGCGGGCAUGCCUGUCCGAGCGUCAUUUCAACCCUCGAACCCCUCCGGGGGGUCGGCGUUGGGGGAUCGGCCCCUCACCGGGCAACCCACAAAAUACAGUGGCGGUCUCGCCGCAGCCUCUCCGGCGCAAUAGUUGGCACGCUCGCACCGGGGAGCGCGGCGCGACCACACCAGUAAACAACCGAUACUUCUGAAUGUGGACCUGGGAGCUGGUAGCAAUACCGUUAAACUCAGCAGUCGCUCACCCGGAAAAA
rnacentral:rRNA from 1 species